AGUUGGUUAAUAACUCACGUUCAACCUUAGGUUAGGUUUUCUAAGAUGGAGUCUGAACCCAAACGAUUUGGUCUCUCACAUGCAGACUGGAAUUGAACCUAGGUUACAGUGGAUUGAAUUAUAAACAACGUCAUGGGGCAAGAUUUCAUUUUAUGAUGACAGUGAUCUUUGUUGCUCUAAAUGCCAGUCUGACAGGAACUUACGGAUCCUCAGCUCUUCAGGUCUUUGCACCUCCCAACUUCUGCCUCUGCAGACCUUUGACCCCUGGGUUCAGUGCUACGGGUGCUUUCUCUUCUGCAGCUGGUCAGAUGGCCCCAGGGCACCCAGAGAAUGCACCGGAAACCCAGGAGUUGGACAGCAGCUUCCCCCAGCACAGAGCCAAGCAGAGGCUGACUCUGACCUGAAGUCUGCGCCCCUUUCAGCACUCUGGGAGCUAUUACCACCUGUCCAUCAGCGGCAUCAAGGAGCCAGGAGUGAUGACCUGGACAGUUCAGACUGUGGGAAGAGGUCCGCGCUUUGAUGAAGAAAAGCCAAGAAGGGAAGAAAGCUUAUAGGGCGUGUGAUCUGAGUGGAGUCUGGCUUUCCUCACUCACCAGGACCUGAAAAUGAGCAGAAAUUGGAUUUCAGUAUUUGGCAUCCCUUACCUGUUCAGAACGUUCUAAAUGUACUAGCUUGCCUAAGGCUCUCAAUAACAGCUGUGCAAGGAAUAUACUAUUUCAUUGAGGGGAAACACAAAGCCCAAGAGGGGCCAAAUGGUGUCUUAAAGCCACGUCUGUAUGCAGCAGAACCAGAUCCCAGCUUGUCACUGGCUAUGCAGAGCCCUGAGCAAACAUGGAGGUGUGUGGCCAGAGCAGGAAAGAGCAUCAUAUCUAUCAUGGCAACAAGCCAGUCAUGUCUCUAUGUCCAUACUGCUGCUAGCUGGCUGUGCCACAGUCUCUCUUGGCCUCAAGGUCCUUGUCCAUCAAACAGGAAGAUGAGACAGAGGCUAUGAUUUGUGUCUCUGGAUAAUGAAAUCCCUGAGGUCUCUUUUAUUUCCAAGACCAUAAGUUUGGUAGUUAAAAUUAUUUAUUUAGGAGAAGGAAUAACACCUUCAGCUAUUUGCCUGGAGUUCAUAAUUCCAGCAUCUCAGAGAACAGAACUGAACUUGAUAUUCAAACUCAGCUUAGAAUCCUGACUGCUUGUAUGUUUGGUUUCUAAGGUGGGCCCCACAUACAAGGUCCUGGCCAUUCUAGGCCAUUACUGGAUGCCCCUCCAUUUGCAGCACUGUGGAUGACACUCAGGGUUGUUACAACAAAAUGUCAUAGCAUGUGAUGUGUGCCAUAUCUGUGAGAUCUCAUUAAAGCUUCACCGUAAUCC